CUACGGGAGGCUGCAGUGGGGAAUCUUGCGCAAUGGAGGAAACUCUGACGCAGCCAUGCCGCGUGAGUGAAGAAGGCCUUAGGGUUGUAAAGCUCUUUCAGUGGGAAAGAUAAUGACGGUACCCACAGAAGAAGCCCCGGCUAACUCCGUGCCAGCAGCCGCGGUAAUACGGAGGGGGCUAGCGUUAUUCGGAAUUACUGGGCGUAAAGCGCGCGUAGGCGGCUCAUAAAGUCAGAGGUGAAAGCCCAGGGCUUAACCCUGGAACUGCCUUUGAAACUUAUGGGCUCGAGUCUGUUAGAGGAUGAUGGAAUUCCUAGUGUAGCGGUGAAAUGCGUAGAUAUUAGGAGGAACACCAGUGGCGAAGGCGAUCAUCUGGGACAGUACUGACGCUAAGGUGCGAAAGCGUGGGGAGCAAACAGGAUUAGAUACCCUGGUAGUC
rnacentral:rRNA from 1 species